GUGGAUACAUGUGGAUACAAGUGGAUACAAGUGGAUACAAGUGGAUACAAGAGGUGAAUACAAGGGUGAAGGAUGAGCUACGGUGCAAGAUGAGCUACGGUACGUGAGGAACUACGGUACGUGAGCUACGGUACGUUCUACUUGUAGACUUUUGCCAUCUCUCUUACAAGUCGCGCACUGAUAUACUGGUAUAGUGUAUGUACUGUACAUACUGUACCGGGACUCGUACUCGUAGUGUCGUUCCCAUGAGAUCUGUUAAACACGCAACGUCGACAGUUCGCCCACUCUCUGCUAAUACCUUGAGUAGUUUUCCUCUGGUAGAAGCUCUGGUAUUAGCUGUCAUCCUAUUGGCCUCGAACCACUUCCAGCAUGUUCGGGCUUAACGAAUCUCUUCAGAGAGAUCGCAACCGGACUCGCCGACGUUCGUCACAUCGCGCAUGCCGAACUCGUCGGGCUCAUCGUCACUCAAUCUUCAGAUCCAUCGCCUGUAUCAGAUGGACUGCCCUAUAUAGAAUGGUCACAAGAUCGAAGAUGUGGUAUAUGAACACUAGUGUCGCCUCACGUUCUUCACCUGGCCCUUACAGCGCCCCACUAACCACGACAUCAAUACAGUCCAACACAAGAACAACGCUAUAUUGUGAUGUCAGAAUCUCUCGAUACAAGGCCAAAAGCCGACUACAGAGUAGCAGUCGUCGCACCCAUUUGACGAAGAGGCUCCGGACUCUGGAACUUUCCAGGUUCCAAAUCACCUGCAGGACUUUUCGCACUCAUCUCCCGUGAGUAAAGAAAGCGCUUGAGUCGUCAUUCGGUCUACACACAGCGAAUGGCUACUUUCCAUAAUCACCUGGAGCCCAUUACUCCGCUUAAAUGGUCUAUCUCAAGAGAUGGCAGAUAUAUUCCAUAGCAUAACCGGCAAAAAACUCGCUAAUCAUUAAUGCCCAUGCAAGUAGCGAAGGGGCUUGGUACAGAUGCCAUAGGACUUUGGUGACUUCAGAGACAUCUCCAACGUUUUAUUCAAGUCUGGCAGAUUAAUGAAGACCCACUUGUUUGUCCGUUACCCGAAGAGCCCAUCUGGCGUACACC
rnacentral:misc_RNA from 1 species